UCAAAACUUCAAAAAAAUUAUUUGUGUUAUUACUCUCUAUAAUAGGUUUGAGCGUAUAAGUCCAUAUCAACCAUAUGCAGUUGUCUUGCAAACAAAAUAAAUUCCAAUGCCAUCCCUCGCAUGCUUAGGUGGUCUUGUGACAAGUCAUCCUCAUCUCAUUUUAUACACGACCAAGUUUUUGACUCAACUAAGUUGAAAAUUAAAAUGCUUCUUGACAUGACACAAGAUGAGAAGAUUUCAAUGGGUGGAACUCCAUCCUUUGAGUUUGAUGUUAUUAAGGGUGAGACACCUCUACCUCAUACCCGCUAAUGAAGCGAAAACAAAAGUCGAAAUAAAAAAUGAAAAAGUCUGUUAAGAACCUUGAGGAUUGUGUCAUAAUGGUCUAGAAGGAACUUAAGGAACUGAAACUGAUACUAUCGACCAUAAUAAAACAACUUGGAAUAGAAAAACAGGUAUGUGAUUCUUAGAAAAACAGAAGUAGUUAACAUUAUUAUUUUUAACUACUAAAUCAUGUUGAUACUCAGCAGGCCAACGAAGAAAAAGUUCCAGAAUUUGACGACUUGAUGAAGAAUGAUAUGCAAAAUGAGCAUAAGGAUGUUCAAGAUCACGAUGUGGACACAAUGAGUACACCUUCUUGGUUGAAGAUGCUGAAGGAAAAUCACAGUGAAGUUCAAAAUGAGGUGGAACAACCAUCACGAUCUUGGACAGUGAAGUUCAAAUUGAGGUCGAACAAAAACUGUGGUUUGAUUAAAGCAACUGCUUCUGACCUUGAUUGCCUUAUGUUAGUACCUCAGUUAAGUGUCAUAUGGAUUCAGGCGUAACAGAGAUUGCACCUUCAUCAUGUAUAUGUCCAUAUGUCUGUCCCGCAUGUAAAAGCAUGCAAGUGUUUACAUCUGUACUCCAGGCCGAAGACUUCAAAAGAUAAUUCCCAAUGUGAUCUAGUCAUUUACAAUCAGAUGCAUGAAUACCAAAAAGUGAAUUAGACAUACUUAAAGUUUGGAUAUCACACAAACAUACAGACAAUGAGUUAUGAGACACGAUUAUGUCACAGGUGGUUGACAAACAAGGUGUUACUAUACUUAUUAUUAUUAUUAUUAUUAUUUUAUGAUGGCAGUUAAUUGAUUUUGACAAUAA